CUUUUACCCAUAUGCGUUUCUAAACGCUCGUGAUGAGACCUCAGGUCAGGCGGGGCUACCCGCUGAAUUUAAGCAUAUCAAUAAGCGGAGGAAAAGAAACUAACAAGGAUUCC
rnacentral:rRNA from 1 species